rnacentral:misc_RNA from 1 species
AACCAUAGAAACCUGCGGAGUACCUGCGGAGGGAUCAUUAUAGUAUAUGGAAUCUCCAUUCUAUAAACCCACUCUGCGUAUCUUGUAACUGUUGCUUCCAUGGGACUUGGUUCCGCCACACCGGCUUCACGGCUGGCGAGCGCCCAUGGAAGGAGAAACAAAACUCUUCUUUGAAAUGUAGUCAGUCUGAACAAGUUUUUAUAAACGUUAAAACUUUUAACAAUGGAUCUCAGAUCGGAA